rnacentral:ncRNA from 1 species
UAUCUUUGCACCCGCUACUCAAACGACUUGAGUACGUACAUAAAAAUUAUUUAUACAAUAUUGGCAUG